GAGGCACUCAAGUAGAGCAGCCAGGAGCAGGUUACACUGUGGACCUUAGAGUCCACAAACAAGAGUCCAAACCCUAUAAUGAGCAGAGCUGCCGCCCUGGCUUUCAUGGCCACACAGAAGAUGGAAACAAGCCCAGCCCGAGAUGCAGUAUCUGCCCAGAUGAGCGGCUGCCCUGUCUGCAGGGCCCUUCCAGCCCCAGCUGGUACCUCUCUAUGUCUUCUGUUCUAUGGACUUGGUGAGCCUCGGAGGGCCUGCCUGCAGGAGAUGAUUUGAGGACCAACUUCCAUCAGUCUUGCUGGGAAAACUUAGACUCACACUCUGGCAGCUGUCAGCACUGCUCCUUUGCCCUGCUGAGUUGUCCAUCUGUCCCUCUGCCUGCUGUUGCAAAUGAAGCUGUCAUUUCUAAGGUCAGUCGGGAGCCGACUGGGUCCUGGGUGGAGAAACUUGAGAAGCAGGUGUCCCUUCACUCAUCCCCUGGAAUGCUCCUGCCUCCCCCACUUGCUCCCACCUGCUUUUGCUGCCUCUUGCUGCCCUGGACAAUCCUGG
rnacentral:lncRNA from 1 species